CUCUGUGUCAGGGACAUCUGAGCUGCUGGGGUGCCUGGAUUGGUGUCUCUGGUUUGACAGCAUGCGAGUAACUCAGCCCUUGUUAAACCUGAGCGAACAUUUUGCUUUACCAAGGUUCUCUUUGCAGCACCAACCACUGUUCCAGUUCCCCUUCAGUGUCAGACUCAUUGUCUGGGUGUCCUCCUGCUCCUGCAGUGAUUCACUCUGGGAAGGUGCCAGCCUGGCUCUGGCACCUCGAGCAAAGGUCUGUGCUGCUGAGAGGGGUAGAGAGAGAUGCUCCAGAGAUGAAACGCCACGGUCCUCGCCUGACAGCCAGCCUUGUUCUGUUAAAAACCACAUCCUGCAUGUGUGGCUUGCCUGAGGCAAAGCCCAGCAUCAAGGCAGCGUGUCCACCCCGAAACCAGCUCCUUGCAAAUUGAAGUAGGCACCUUGUUCCCUGUCAGCUCCCUGAAAGCACAGGCAACGCUGCUGAGCUCCUCCUGAAACUCUGAACAUCCCAUUUCUGUGCUGGGGGCUGGGUUGGCUGGGCCCUCCACCGCUGUGAGCCACGUAAAACUUAUUAUUGUGCAACAGCACAUCUCUUUCAAAGCUAUAAAAGAUGGUUUGCUGCCUCUGUGAUUUUUUUUUAACUGCAAAAAGUGGUUAUUUGAGUUUUUCGCUUCUUCAUGCCAUGAAAGCUUCCUGGUAAUAUCUGGUGGCUGCGAGUUCAAGCUAAACUACUUCAAAUUAUAAACAAGAGUCUUAAACCACAGAAAAGUCUUACAAAUGGAAAUGCUUUUCAACUCUCACUUUUUAAAAAUUGCUACUGGAUGGGGUCAGGUAGGUUUCCUGAAGUGUUUGACCUGGAAUAAACAAAAAUGAAAUUUUGGAAAGCUGUGAGAA
rnacentral:lncRNA from 1 species